CAUAUUUAUUAACAACAAAAGCACCUACCAAUAAAAAAACAUGUAAGUGCAAAUCUUUGGACUCACUGCGUUGUAAAAUUGCAUUAAUCCAGUCAAUACCACAAUAUGAAGGCAACAACAUUACUUGUCUUGAUAUGCUUUACUGUUUUUUUAAUGUUUAUAGAUUCAUCAUGUUACGAAAGUGAUGAGUUUACACCUGAAAUAGCUUGCAACAAAAUCCCCAGUUUGGUCCGAAUUGAUAAAUGUUUUAAAAAUGAAAAUUGCUAUGCUAUUCUUAAAAACUACGUAAAAAGUCCUGUAAUUAUGAAAUACAUAGUGCUUUACAAAAAGCUCAAGAAAGCAACAUCUACUCAGGAGUUAAAAGAACUUUGUGAAGAAACUUCUAUACUUGUUCCAGUAACUGCAUCGUUAUCAAAAUGUAAAGCAGAUGUAUUAAGGCAGUGUGUGAAUAAGGCUGGCGCCAUUUACCCAGCUUUUCAUAUAUACUUGCUCAAAAUUUGCACUAAGCAGGAAUCAUAAGUAGAGUAGAAAUAGUAUCCAACAGCUUAAACGCUUUAUUUUUAGAUAUUUUUAUUAUAAAAAAUAAUGAAUUUAAUAAAAAUGUUAAUUAAUCGUU